UACGGGAGGCAGCAGUGGGGAAUAUUGCACAAUGGGCGCAAGCCUGAUGCAGCCAUGCCGCGUGUAUGAAGAAGGCCUUCGGGUUGUAAAGUACUUUCAGUCGUGAGGAAGGUGUUAAGGUUAAUAACCUUAGCAAUUGACGUUAGCGACAGAAGAAGCACCGGCUAACUCCGUGCCAGCAGCCGCGGUAAUACGGAGGGUGCGAGCGUUAAUCGGAAUUACUGGGCGUAAAGGGCACGCAGGCGGUUAAUUAAGUUGGAUGUGAAAUCCCCGGGCUUAACCUGGGAAUGGCAUUCAAGACUGGUUAGCUAGAGUCUUGUAGAGGGGGUAGAAUUCCAUGUGUAGCGGUGAAAUGCGUAAAGAUGUGGAGGAAUACCGGUGGCGAAGGCGGCCCCUGGACAAAGACUGACGCUCAUGUGCGAAAGCGUGGGGAGCAAACAGGGAUUAGAUACCCGU
rnacentral:rRNA from 1 species